rnacentral:rRNA from 1 species
UAGACCGCCUGGGGAGUACGGCCGCAAGGUUAAAACUCAAAUGAAUUGACGGGGGCCCGCACAAGCGGUGGAGCAUGUGGUUUAAUUCGAUGCAACGCGAAGAACCUUACCUGGUCUUGACAUCCACAGAAGAUUCCAGAGAUGGAUUGGUGCCUUCGGGAACUGUGAGACAGGUGCUGCAUGGCUGUCGUCAGCUCGUGUUGUGAAAUGUUGGGUUAAGUCCCGCAACGAGCGCAACCCUUAUCCUUUGUUGCCAGCGGUUAGGCCGGGAACUCAAAGGAGACUGCCAGUGAUAAACUGGAGGAAGGUGGGGAUGACGUCAAGUCAUCAUGGCCCUUACGACCAGGGCUACACACGUGCUACAAUGGCGCAUACAAAGAGAAGCGACCUCGC